CAAACACCCCGCCGGCUGAAAAGGUCCUGGUUCUUACCUUGUCGGCUGACCGGUUGUUUGGU
rnacentral:pre_miRNA from 1 species